rnacentral:rRNA from 1 species
CCUUUGACGUUAGCGGCGGACGGGUGAGUAACACGUGGGUAACCUACCUAUAAGACUGGGAUAACUUCGGGAAACCGGAGCUAAUACCGGAUAAUAUUUCGAACCGCAUGGUUCGAUAGUGAAAGGUGGUUUUGCUAUCACUUAUAGAUGGACCCGCGCCGUAUUAGCUAGUUGGUGAGGUAACGGCUUACCAAGGCGACGAUACGUAGCCGACCUGAGAGGGUGAUCGGCCACACUGGAACUGAGACACGGUCCAGACUCCUACGGGAGGCAGCAGGC